AGCUUGCACCAUAAUUAUGAAACAAUUUUUGCUUUCAAAUAUUUUAGCCUAGUUUGUGCUUGGGAGACAAUGAUAAAACAUUUCCUGGUGUCUUGGGGCUUGCAAUGUAGUUGGGGAAAACACAUUAAACAACUGAACUGUUAAGUGAUUUUAAAAAAAAGUAUAGGUGGCCUUGAGUAUCAAACCAAGACCCCAUUUAGUACGGAAUCAAAGUUGAUGUGUGGGAUAAAUUUAUCUGUGUCUGAGGGAUGGGGGUGGUGUGGGGGACAGUAAAACAGCAGAGAGUAUUCCAGAUAGGAUGAAUCUUUCAGCAAAAGUCCAUGAGGAGGAGGGAAUCCAGCAUAUCAAUAGAAAGAAGGCUGGAACUCAAGAAAAGGGAAGAUGUGGGCAGUGAGCUGGAGAAGGUAGCAAGGAAGAUCAUUGACUAUGUUAAAGGGAAAAGAACCAGUGGGAAAAGCGAAAGUCAUCAACUGCCUGGUUUACUUUAGUAAAACUACGGUUAUACUGUUCUAAUGUCUGAGAUUUGGAGUCAUGUUCAUAAGUCUACUCCAAGUAGACCUAUGCUCAAAAUCUAAAAUUUUAAGAAUCCUAAAAAUCCUUAGUUUCCAGUUCUAAUGUUCUAUGUAUAUCAUUUAGAGGGGGCAAAAAAUCAAUUACAAUUUGCCUAUAAUUCCAUUUUCAAGUAGAAAUCUGACUACUACAAAAAUAGCUAAGGGAUGGUCAGAAAGAAGUUUAUAUUUGGUAAGCAAUUUGGAUUAUUUAUAUAGUGUAGAACAGCUGGAACUUCCCCUAACAUUAAAUUUUAGAUCACUGUUUUAAUUUGUUGCUUCUGGAAUUAGUUAAAAAAUGUUUUACAGUGCUUGGGAUUGGACUCAGGUCCUCUUGAAUGCUAGGAAAGUUCUCUUACUGAGGUAUAGCCCCAGUCCCCAAAUUUAUUUUAAUAUAUGUUUUAAAUGUGACUAUCAUACUAUUAGUUCAUUUCAAAUUGUUACAUGUAUGGCUAAUUUAACAUUAAGGUGGCACUUUAUAUUUGCUAAUUACAACCGAUUACAUUUGGAGUUAAUGUAUUAUUGAGAUGAAUUUUCCCCAAAAGAAAUCAGUAUGUGGAAUAGUUAUAGAGCUAUUAAAAUAAAAACCAGAUUUUAUUUUCAAUUAAAAAGUAAGACUUUUGAAGUUCAAUCAACAAUAUUACAGUAUGUAAAUUAAGCAGGACUAGGAAAGGGGACUGGUUUUCCUGCUAACUAUGUCACAGAGCCAAUACUCCACAAUUUAUCUGCUCAAGCAAUCAGAGGAGGGGAGAAAUGCUCAACCAUAUUAUUUGCUCAUUUAGAAAAAGUAAUUUAAAGUAAGUUGUAACUUUAUGAGUAUGUUUUAUAAUUGGUCUGUUUCUUUUUCUCACUAAUUGGUCCUUCAUACUUUUCUAGGUCUUACAUGUCUCUAGGUUUAGGUCUCCCCCCUCCCCUUU
rnacentral:lncRNA from 1 species